rnacentral:rRNA from 1 species
UACGUAGGGGGCUAGCGUUGUCCGGAAUCAUUGGGCGUAAAGAGCGUGUAGGCGGUUCGGUAAGUCCGCUGUGAAAGUCCAGGGCUCAACCCUGGAAUGCCGGUGGAUACUGUCGGGCUAGAGUCCGGAAGAGGCGAGUGGAAUUCCUGGUGUAGCGGUGGAAUGCGCAGAUAUCAGGAGGAACACCAAUAGCGAAGGCAGCUCGCUGGGACGUUACUGACACUGAGGCGCGAAAGCGUGGGGAGCGAACAGG